rnacentral:lncRNA from 1 species
GAUGGAAACCGUCCAGCCUCAAAACUUUCGGCCAAGAAGAUAGACGAAGAUCGAGCUUUAAUGAAGAGUUUGUAAAGUCUUUUUCUUCUUCUUAGCCUUGUAAAAAUUGUAUAGAGUAGUUAGGAAGUCUUGGUCCUUGUAUUUUGGGCCAAAGUAGAGAAAUAUGUAAAUAGAAAACAAAGUAAUGUGUAAAAUAGUAAAAGAGGGGUGCAAAUAGAAAUGUAGGCAAGGAAGGCAUGAGUCUCCACAUGUCUUCUCCUUAAUGGAGAGGAUUUGCACCAAUAAGGUGGUGACACUUGUCACACUCUCUUUUGAGAGUUUUUGAGAGACUUUAUCCUAUAAAUAGGAGUCUCUUGUACAUGUAUUUCUUUAACUUGGAAUUAGUAAUGAAAUGUUGCCUAAUUUUGGCCAUUCUACUUGUUCUUAAGUUCUCCCUAGGUUAGUCUCCUUCAAGACUUAGCCUAGACUCUUUCCUAGUGAGUUGGCCUCACCUCUCACUCUCACAAAUUCCUACUCCACUUCAAUCCAUGGAAACUCCUCUUGAGUUUCUUUAAUGCUUCCGC